CUACUUUGCUUUUCGUUUCAAAAGUUUUAUAUAUCACUUUUGUUUUUAUUUUUUGGUAGUUUUGGGUCGGGACUCGGGAUUCAGUUCACGGCUUGAUGUUGAUGUCUGUUGAGAGGCUGUUCACUGUUCGGUUCAACAGUGUGGAGUUCCCUUGUUGCUCAAACAAAUUGUGAGAUUCGAAAUGGCUGCUGGACUAGUUAAGAAGUUCUUUAUUGCAUCAACGUUGAUGUGGAUGGCUCCUCUUGCAGUUCACUAAGGUUUUAACCAUAAUUUACUACCCGGUUUAACGAAUUUAUCUCCCCAUGCUAUGACAUUGUUGAGUGGAUUCGUUGCUGUAAUAUCGGUCAAUAUAGUUAUUGCAUUCUACAUUUAUAUGGCAAUGAAGGAACCUUCCAAUAUGCAUCAGCCUGACCCCAAGUUUCUCACCCACGCAAAAGCUAGUGUAUACCAGCCAACAGGUGAACCUAUGGAAUCCCUAAAGAAACAAGAAUAGAAUAGCUGAAGCCCUAGAGAAGUAACCAUAGUGGGGAGAAUGGAACAAUGAGGUUUUGAGUAUUUUGUUGUAUAUUUAGUUUCAUUGCUUUUGAAUCUUUUCA